rnacentral:rRNA from 1 species
ACUCCUACGGGAGGCAGCAGUGGGGAAUAUUGCACAAUGGGGGAAACCCUGAUGCAGCCAUGCCGCGUGUGUGAAGAAGGCCUUCGGGUUGUAAAGCACUUUCAGUAGGGAGGAAGGUAGUGUAGUUAACACCUGCACUAUUUGACGUUACCUACAGAAGAAGCACCGGCUAACUCCGUGCCAGCAGCCGCGGUAAUACGGAGGGUGCGAGCGUUAAUCGGAAUUACUGGGCGUAAAGCGCAUGCAGGCGGCCUGUUAAGUCAGAUGUGAAAGCCCGGGGCUUAACCUCGGAAUUGCAUUUGAAACUGGCAGGCUAGAGUACUGUAGAGGGGGGUAGAAUUUCAGGUGUAGCGGUGAAAUGCGUAGAGAUCUGAAGGAAUACCGGUGGCGAAGGCGGCCCCCUGGACAGAUACUGACACUCAGAU